UCAGAGCAGUUCUGCGAAGUGACUCCCUGGGACUCAUUUCCUGGCUGUCUUAGGCUACCCCGUAGUUGCUGCGGGUACCAAAGAGGCUCCUACUUCAGGAGGAGGAGCUGAUAAAUUUGCCCCAGGGUCAGAAGUAAAUCUACCUGUGAGGGGGCGGAACCUUUUGUACUGAACGGGGAACACCCAGCUAUAAAGCUUCUUUGCUGAGGAACAAUGGAGAGACCCUGGCUGUUCUCACGCCUGCUGCUACUGCUGGUGAACAUUCCCUGGGGGAGCUGCCAGGCCGAGGUGCACCAGAACCUGUCUGCGGUCACUCGGGAAGGGCAGAACGGCAGCAUCACUUGCCACUACACAACGAGCAAUUUAUGGAGUUUGCGGUGGUUCAGGCAGCUUUCCGGAGGCCAGCCUGUCUCCCUGCUGAUUCUGGUGUCCGAUGGGAAACAAACCAAGGUCCCCAAUCUCACCGCGGAGCUCGACAAGGGGCAGCAGCUGAGCUCCCUGCACAUCAGAGAUUCACAGCUGGGAGAUGCAGCCACCUACUUCUGCGCCGUGGAGACACAGUGACACUGGAGCACUGGCAGCCUGUGCAAAAACUCCCCAGCUGGAGGGGUAACUGUCAGGCUGGCAAGCGGUACAACAACACCACCUACUUCUUACAUAGUGCAUCUCUGAGCGUGCUUCACCUUCCUUAACACGGUCAGCCCCCCACCACCCUGGUGAGGCAGGGCAGUGCAAGGAUCCCC